rnacentral:rRNA from 1 species
UACGUAGGGGGCAAGCGUUGUCCGGAAUUAUUGGGCGUAAAGAGCUCGUAGGCGGUUCCGUAAGUCGGAUGUGAAAACUCAGGGCUCAACCCGGAGACGCCAUCUGAUACUGCGGUGACUGGAGUCUGGUAGGGGAUCACGGAAUUCCUGGUGUAGCGGUGAAAUGCGCAGAUAUCAGGAGGAACACCGAUGGCGAAGGCAGUGAUCUGGGCCAGUACUGACGCUGAGGAGCGAAAGCGUGGGGAGCAAACAGG